CUAGGAAGAAGGAUAAUCGGAACGUACACUUUUUGCUUUGCAAAAAAUGUUACGUUCAGGAAAGUCCAGACAGCACAGAGCAAGGUGGUUCGAGUAAUCGGACAGCCGUAAGGCCUAGUUAGAGCAACAGUGACGAACCGAGGUAAUGCUCGGGUGAAACGCGGAGGUCGCAAGACCGAAGUCCUGAGAGAAAUCGAAGGAGGCAAUCCUCCCCGCUGCAAUCCUAGAAUCCAUUGAGCUGCUCGCUCGAUAAUGAGAGUCAGGAGCAUCUCGCCGUUAGGCGGAUCAAAGUGACUAAAAUCACAUUGAAGAUAAAUGAUUAUCUUGAAACAGAAUCUGGCUUACUAACUUCCUAGGCAC
rnacentral:RNase_P_RNA from 2 species